rnacentral:rRNA from 2 species
GGGCCCGCACAAGCAGCGGAGCAUGUGGUUUAAUUCGAAGCAACGCGAAGAACCUUACCAGGUCUUGACAUCCAUUUAAACUCAUGGAGACAUGAGGUGAGCUUGCUCAAAAUGAGACAGGUGGUGCAUGGUUGUCGUCAGCUCGUGUCGUGAGAUGUUGGGUUAAGUCCCGCAACGAGCGCAACCCUUAUAUUCAGUUACUAACGCGUAGAGGCGAGGACUCUGGAUAGACUGCCGGGGACAACUCGGAGGAAGGUGGGGACGACGUCAAAUCAUCAUGCCCCUUAUGACCUGGGCUACACACGUGCUACAAUGGCCUCUACAAAGAGGAGCGAGACCGCAAGGUGGAGCAAAUCUCAUAAAAGAGGUCCCAGUUCGGAUUGAGGGCUGCAACCCGCCCUCAUGAAGUCGGAGUUGCUAGUAAUCGCGAAUCAGCAUGUCGCGGUGAAUACG